UACAGAGGGGGCAAGCGUUGUUCGGAAUCACUGGGCGUAAAGGGCGCGUAGGCGGCCUGUUAAGUCGAACGUGAAAUCCCCGGGCUCAACCCGGGAACUGCGUCCGAUACUGGCAGGCUUGAAUUCGGGAGAGGGAUGUGGAAUUCCAGGUGUAGCGGUGAAAUGCGUAGAUAUCUGGAGGAACACCGGUGGCGAAGGCGGCAUCCUGGACCGAUAGUGACGCUGAUGCGCGAAAGCCAGGGGAGCAAACGGG
rnacentral:rRNA from 1 species